rnacentral:misc_RNA from 1 species
UAGGGAGACCUAAUCCAUUUAGAAAUCGAAAACAAUGAAAAUUGUCAAUAGAAACUAAAUCGGUCUAACCUAGGUCGUUCGAGAUUGGUAGACAUCUUUCAAAGUAUUAUUCGGCUUCGUUCAAAACCAUAUAUAAUAAAUGGAAAAAGACAGCACCUAAUUGUCAAAGUUAGACUGCUGGAUGAAAUUCCAGCCAGAACCUUGAAAACUGCAUAAGAGAACGAGAAAAAGCAGGCAGACACAGACAUUUAGAUGGAUGUGAAAGCAAAAGAAAUUGU